GACGAACGCUGGCGGCGUGCUUAACACAUGCAAGUCGAACGGGAUUUAGUAAACAGAAACCUCGGUGGAAGAUUACUAAUGAGAGUGGCGAACGGGUGAGUAACGCGUGAGCAACCUGCCUAUGACAGUGGGAUAGCCUCGGGAAACCGGGAUUAAUACCGCAUAAAAUCGUAGAAACACAUGUUUUAACGGUCAAAGAUUUAUCGGUCAUAGAUGGGCUCGCGUCUGAUUAGCUAGUUGGUGAGAUAACAGCCCACCAAGGCGACGAUCAGUAGCCGGUCUGAGAGGAUGAACGGCCACAUUGGAACUGAGACACGGUCCAAACUCCUACGGGAGGCAGCAGUGGGGAAUAUUGCACAAUGGGGGAAACCCUGAUGUAGCGACGCCGCGUGAACGAAGAAGGUAUUCGUAUCGUAAAGUUCUGUCCUAUGGGAAGAUAAUGACAGUACCAUAGAAGAAAGCUCCGGCUAAAUACGUG
rnacentral:rRNA from 1 species